rnacentral:rRNA from 1 species
UGGCUCAGAUUGAACGCUGGCGGCAUGCUUUACACAUGCAAGUCGAACGGCAGCACGAAAGAGCUUGCUCUUUUGGUGGCGAGUGGCGAACGGGUGAGUAAUACAUUGGAACGUACCGAGUAAUGGGGGAUAACUGUCCGAAAGGAUGGCUAAUACCGCAUACGCUCUGAGGAGGAAAGCGGGGGACCUUCGGGCCUCGCGUUAUUCGAGCGGCCAAUGUCUGAUUAGCUAGUUGGUGGGGUAAAAGCCUACCAAGGCGACGAUCAGUAGUGGGUCUGAGAGGAUGAUCCGCCACACUGGGACUGAGACACGGCCCAGACUCCUACGGGAGGCAGCAGUGGGGAAUUUUGGACAAUGGGCGAAAGCCUGAUCCAGCCAUGCCGCGUGUCUGAAGAAGGCCUUCGGGUUGUAAAGGACUUUUGUCAGGGAAGAAAGGGUUUGGGUUAAUACCCUAAGCUUAUG